AUUGAACGCUGGCGGCAGACUUAACACAUGCAAGUCGAACAGUUGUAGCAAUACAGCAGUGGCGCACGGGUGAGUAACGCGUGGAUAUCUGCCUUUUGGUUCGGAAUAACUCCGGGAGACUGGAGCUAAUACCGGAUGGUUCCUACGGGAUAAAGAUUUAUCGCCAAAAGAUGAGUCCGCGUACGAUUAGCUAGUUGGCGGGGUAAUGGCCCACCAAGGCGACGAUCGUUAGCUGGUCUGAGAGGACGAUCAGCCACACUGGGACUGAGACACGGCCCAGACUCCUACGGGAGGCAGCAGUGGGGAAUAUUGGACAAUGGGGGCAACCCUGAUCCAGCCAUGCCGCGUGAGUGAUGAAGGCCUUCGGGUUGUAAAGCUCUUUUGGCGGGGACGAUGAUGACGGUACCCGCAGAAUAAGCCCCGGCUAACUUCGUGCCAGCCGCCGCCGUAAUAC
rnacentral:rRNA from 1 species